UACGUAGGGCGCGAGCGUUGUCCGGAAUUAUUGGGCGUAAAGAGCUCGUAGGCGGCUCGUUGCGUCGGCUGUGAAAACCCGCAGCUCAACUGUGGGCUUGCAGCUGAUACGGGCGGGCUGGGAUUCGGUAGGGGAGACUGGAAUUCCUGGUGUAGCGGUGAAAUGCGCAGAUAUCAGGAGGAACACCGGUGGCGAAGGCGGAUCUCUGGGCCUUACCUGACGCUCAGGUGCGAAAGCUAGGGGAGCGAACAGG
rnacentral:rRNA from 1 species